rnacentral:rRNA from 1 species
GAUGAACGCUAGCGGCAGGCCUAACACAUGCAAGUCGAGGGAGGAGCCUUCGGGCUUCGACCGGCGUACGGGUGCGUAACGCGUAUACAAUCUGCCUUUCACAUAGGGAUAGCCCGAAGAAAUUUGGAUUAAUACCUAAUGGUAUAUAGAUGUGGCAUCACCUUUAUAUUAAAGCUGAGGCGGUGAAAGAUGAGUAUGCGUUCUAUUAGCUAGUUGGAGAGGUAACGGCUCCCCAAGGCGACGAUAGAUAGGGGUUCUGAGAGGGAUAUCCCCCACACUGGUACUGAGAUACGGACCAGACUCCUACGGGAGGCAGCAGUGAGGAAUACUGGACAAUGGUCGGAAGACUGAUCCAGCCAUGCCGCGUGCAGGAAGACGGCCUUAUGGGUUGUAAACUGCUUUUGCAGGGGAAGAAUAAGGACUACGCGUAGUUUGAUGACGGUACUCUGCGAAUAAGCAUCGGCUAACUCCGUG